AAUAGGCCACCUGAGCUGCACGUGCUCAGAACCCUCUGACCACACGCUGAAAAUAUAUUGAAAACCUGCUGGAGCAGAUCCAGAAAAUCUGCUGGAACAGAUCCAGAAAAUCUGCUGGAGCAUGGCUCUUUAUGGACAUAAAGGUUCACUUCCUCAGAUUCUUCAGUUACAUCUUUUGGUUGACUCAGAUGAAUUUCUCAAAAUGAUGUCCCCCCACCCUUCAUGAGUCUGCAGCUGCUACUUCUGGACAACUUCUACACCUUCCAGUUCCCUCUGUAAAACACACAUACCUUCAAUGAUCCUUCUAGCCAACACAUUUAGUGGCUGUGUUGCUCUGCAGAUGAUGCUCUGCAGCUUUCUUAGGGUCUUCUGUCCCAAAGCCAUGAAAAUCCACUUAAAGCACAAGUUACACAUGUUCGUGUAACUUCACCCAUGUCCACCAUAAGCAGUUUUUUUUAUAAACACGCAAUAUUUUUAUAAUCUGCAGUAUAUUUACCCUUCAGCACUUCUAAUCUGCGGCAAGGAUCAAAGGUGGAGUUGAGAAGGAAGAAGUCACAGUUGAGG